UACGAGAGGCCCAAACGUUAUUCGGAAUUACUGGGCUUAAAGAGUUCGUAGGCGGCGCAGAAAGUAGGGUGUGAAAGCCCUCGGCUCAACCGAGGAAUUGCGCUCUAAACUACUGUGCUUGAGGAACCUAGAGGUGAGCAGAACAGAUGGUGGAGCGGUGAAAUGCGUUGAUAUCAUCAGGAACACCAGAGGCGAAGGCGGCUCACUGGGUCUCUUCUGACGCUGAGGAACGAAAGCUAGGGGAGCAAACGGG
rnacentral:rRNA from 1 species